rnacentral:rRNA from 1 species
GAUGAACGCUGGCGGCGUGCCUAAUACAUGCAAGUCGAGCGAACGGACGAGAAGCUUGCUUUUCUGAUGUUAGCGGCGGACGGGUGAGUAACACGUGGAUAACCUACCUAUAAGACUGGGAUAACUUCGGGAAACCGGAGCUAAUACCGGAUAAUAUUUUGAACCGCAUGGUUCAAAAGUGAAAGACGGUCUUGCCGUCACUUAUAGAUGGAUCCGCGCUGCAUUAGCUAGUUGGUAGGGUAACGGCUUACCAAGGCAACGAUGCAUAGCCGACCUGAGAGGGUGAUCGGCCACACUGGAACUGAGACACGGUCCAGACUCCUACGGGAGGCAGCAGUAGGGAAUCUUCCGCAAUGGGCGAAAGCCUGACGGAGCAACGCCGCGUGAGUGAUGAAGGUCUUCGGAUCGUAAAACUCUGUUAUUAGGGAAGAACAUAUGUGUAAGUAACUGUGCACAUCUUGACGGUACCUAAUCAGAAAGCCACGGCUAACUACGUG